rnacentral:lncRNA from 1 species
UGAUCCCCCUGCCUCUUGUUUACAGGUGUGCACCACUGCCACUGCACCCUUAGGAGGCUUCUUUAAGAAAAAUGAUAGCUGGCUGCUGUAGCACACAACUAUAAUGUGGGAGCCUUGGGAGUUUGAGACAAGAGGAUCCCAGCUGUGUGAUCUUGGGCCGGUGACUUAACUGCUCUCUGCUCAGUGUCCACAUCCGAAAGAUGAGAAAACCAAGAAGCUGAUAAAAGAUACUUCAGAUAGGUGCUAUGGCAGCUCCAAAGAUGAAGACGCAAAGCACUUAGCCUAGUGUCUGGACCAUGGUAACUGCACAAAAAAACCUUCCUUAUUAUUAGGAGUGUCAUUAUCAUUUUGAAUUUUCACCCCAUAUGAUUUCCUUAUCACAAAGCCUCACUUUCUGAGCAGAGUUUAAGAAAGAAAAAGAAAAUGAAGUCCAAGUUCACACGUCUUGCUAAUACAACUGUGGGUACGGUACACAUGUGGCAUGACUAUGAAGCCUAGCCCCACUCUGAAAUAAUUAUGGCACAUCCAGAGGACAGCAAGCGUUCUGCCUGCUCCAUUAAAUGUCUCCUUAGCCUGAGAGCUGAUUCAUCCUGAGGUCAUAAAGCAUCUAUCUUCAAAACACUGUAUGAAUAUCCCAUUGUGCAAUUAAGUCAGACCUGUCUAGUUUUGCCUUCCUUGAGAGAAAUGUGCUUAUUCAGCAAAAGUGAAAAGGGUCAACAUAAACUAGUCACAUAUAUAUAUAUAUAUAUAUAUAUAUAUAUAUAUAUAUAUAUAUAUAUAUAAAUGUGUCCUGCAACCUGUACACGUGGAAAAAUGAGAAUCCAUACCCCAUUUGAAUCAAAUGUAUGAUGUCAAGAUCAUUGUAUUGUCAUGAGC